rnacentral:rRNA from 1 species
AUUGAACGCUGGCGGCAUGCCUUACACAUGCAAGUCGAACGGUAACGGGCCUUCGGGUGCCGACGAGUGGCGAACGGGUGAGUAAUACAUCGGAACGUGCCCGAUCGUGGGGGAUAACGAGGCGAAAGCUUUGCUAAUACCGCAUACGAUCUACGGAUGAAAGCAGGGGACAGCAAGGCCUUGCGCGGACGGAGCGGCCGAUGGCAGAUUAGGUAGGUGGUGGGAUAAAAGCUUACCAAGCCGACGAUCUGUAGCUGGUCUGAGAGGAUGAUCAGCCACACUGGGACUGAGACACGGCCCAGACUCCUACGGGAGGCAGCAGUGGGGAAUUUUGGACAAUGGGCGCAAGCCUGAUCCAGCCAUGCCGCGUGCAGGAUGAAGGCCUUCGGGUUGUAAACUGCUUUUGUACGGAACGAAAAGCCUUCUUUUAAUACGGGAGGGUCAUGACGGUACCGUAAGAAUAAGCACCGGCUAACUACGUG